rnacentral:tRNA from 1 species
UGGGGCGUCGCCAAGUGGUAAGGCAGCGGUUUUUGGUACCGCCAUUCGCAGGUUCGAAUCCUUCCGCCCCAG